rnacentral:sRNA from 1 species
AGAAAAAGUGUGGGAUUUCAAAGGAUUAAGCUAAUAAAGGUGGUGAAUCCUCCGAUAAAGGCAAGGAAAUUGUACCCGAGGAUUUGUAGUCAGAGUACUCUAGAAAUUCGACUCCCGAAAUAGUUCAGAUUAGGUUGUAGAUAGCUGAGUUCAUCGAGUACUACCCUUGGAUUUGCAUUCCUUCAAACUGUAGGUUCAUAGUCCUCUUUACUUUGAGU